AGAGUUUGAUCCUGGCUCAGGACGAACGCUGGCGGCGUGCUUAACACAUGCAAGUCGAACGGAAAGGCCCUGCUUUUGUGGGGUGCUCGAGUGGCGAACGGGUGAGUAACACGUGAGUAACCUGCCCUUGACUUUGGGAUAACUUCAGGAAACUGGGGCUAAUACCGGAUAGGAGCUCCUGCUGCAUGGUGGGGGUUGGAAAGUUUCGGCGGUUGGGGAUGGACUCGCGGCUUAUCAGCUUGUUGGUGGGGUAGUGGCUUACCAAGGCUUUGACGGGUAGCCGGCCUGAGAGGGUGACCGGCCACAUUGGGACUGAGAUACGGCCCAGACUCCUACGGGAGGCAGCAGUGGGGAAUAUUGCACAAUGGGCGGAAGCCUGAUGCAGCAACGCCGCGUGCGGGAUGACGGCCUUCGGGUUGUAAACCGCUUUCGCCUGUGACGAAGCGUGAGUGACGGUAAUGGGUAAAGAAGCACCGGCUAACUACGUGCCAGCAGCCGCGGUGAUACGUAGGGUGCGAGCGUUGUCCGGAUUUAUUGGGCGUAAAGGGCUCGUAGGUGGUUGAUCGCGUCGGAAGUGUAAUCUUGGGGCUUAACCCUGAGCGUGCUUUCGAUACGGGUUGACUUGAGGAAGGUAGGGGAGAAUGGAAUUCCUGGUGGAGCGGUGGAAUGCGCAGAUAUCAGGAGGAACACCAGUGGCGAAGGCGGUUCUCUGGGCCUUUCCUGACGCUGAGGAGCGAAAGCGUGGGGAGCGAACAGGCUUAGAUACCCUGGUAGUCCACGCUGUAAACGGUGGGUACUAGGUGUGGGGUCCAUUCCACGGGUUCCGUGCCGUAGCUAACGCUUUAAGUACCCCGCCUGGGGAGUACGGCCGCAAGGCUAAAACUCAAAGGAAUUGACGGGGCCCCGCACAAGCGGCGGAGCAUGCGGAUUAAUUCGAUGCAACGCGUAGAACCUUACCUGGGUUUGACAUGGAUCGGGAGUGCUCAGAGAUGGGUGUGCCUCUUUUGGGGUCGGUUCACAGGUGGUGCAUGCCUGUCGUCAGCUCGUGUCGUGAGAUGUUGGGUUAAGUCCCGCAACGAGCGCAACCCUU
rnacentral:rRNA from 1 species